rnacentral:rRNA from 1 species
GAUGAACGCUGGCGGCGUGCCUAAUACAUGCAAGUCGAGCGAACAGACGAGGAGCUUGCUCCUCUGACGUUAGCGGCGGACGGGUGAGUAACACGUGGAUAACCUACCUAUAAGACUGGGAUAACUUCGGGAAACCGGAGCUAAUACCGGAUAAUAUAUUGAACCGCAUGUUUCAAUAGUGAAAGACGGUUUUGCUUUCACUUAUAGAUGGAUCCGCGCCGCAUUAGCUAGUUGGUAAGGUAACGGCUUACCAAGGCAACGAUGCGUAGCCGACCUGAGAGGGUGAUCGGCCACACUGGAACUGAGACACGGUCCAGACUCCUACGGGAGGCAGCAGUAGGGAAUCUUCCGCAAUGGGCGAAAGCCUGACGGAGCAACGCCGCGUGAGUGAUGAAGGUCUUCGGAUCGUAAAACUCUGUUAUUAGGGAAGAACAAAUGUGUAAGUAACUAUGCACGUCUUGACGGUACCUAAUCAGAAAGCCACGGCUAACUACGUG